CGCGCAGGCGGCCCGGUAAGUGGUGUGUGAAAUCCCCUGGCUCAACCAGGGAAUUGCGCUCCAAACUGCCGGGCUUGAGGGCAGUAGAGGAAACUGGAAUUCCUGGUGUAGCGGUGAAAUGCGUAGAUAUCAGGAGGAACACCUUUGGCGAAGGCGAGUUUCUGGGCUGUCCCUGACGCUGAGGCGCGAAAGCUGGGGGAGCAAACA
rnacentral:rRNA from 1 species